rnacentral:rRNA from 1 species
AUUGAACGCUGGCGGCAGGCCUAACACAUGCAAGUCGAGCGGAGCGUCGGACGGGUGCUCAAUGCCUAGGAAUCUGCCUGUUAGUGAGGGAUAAAGUCCGGUAACGGGCGCUACUACCGCAUACUAUCAGUACAGCUUAUGUCGGCUUAGAUAGUUGGUGGGGUAAAGGCCUACGAAGGCGAAGAUCCGGAACUAGUUUGAGAGGAUGAUCAUACACACUGGAACUGAGACACGGUCCAGACUCCUACGGGAGGGAGCAGUGGGGAAUAUUGGACAAUGGGCGAAAGCCUGAUACAGCCAUGCGGCGUGUGUGAAGAAGGUCUUCGGAUUGUAAAGCACUUUAAGUUGGGAGGCGUUACCAACAGAAUAAGCACCGGCUAACUUCGUGCCAGCAGCCGCGGUAAUAC